CCUACGGGAGGCAGCAGUGGGGAAUAUUGCACAAUGGGGGAAACCCUGAUGCAGCGAUGCCGCGUGGAGGAAGAAGGUUUUCGGAUUUUAAACUCCUUUUAUCAGGGACGAUAAUGACGGUCCCUGAACAAAAAGCUCCGGCUAACUACGUACCAGCAGCCGCGGUAAUCCGGAGGGAGCGAGCGUUGUCCGGACUUACUGGGGGUAAAGGGAGCGUAGGCGGGACGGUAAGUCAGAGGUGAAAACUGAGGGCUCAACCUUCAGACUGCAUUUGAAACUGCUGUUCUGGAGUGAAGUAGAGGUAAGCGGAAUUCCUAGUGUAGCGGUGAAAUGCGUAGAUAUUAGGAGGAACAUCGGUGGCGAAGGCGGCUUACUGGGCUUUUACUGACGCUGAGGCUCGAAAGCGUGGGGAGCAAACAGGAUUAGAUACCCUUGUAGUC
rnacentral:rRNA from 1 species